rnacentral:lncRNA from 1 species
GUUUGAUAAGUUUGAAAACUUAGGAUGGCACCAGAAGAUUAUGGAAAGCCUUGAAUGCCAGAAAAAGGAGUCUGAAUUUAGCAAUAAGGUUGACCUAAUAUGACAAUGAGGGCUGUGGAUAUUCAAGUGAUUCAAUAUUCAAUUACUUAAAUGAAUCAUCAAUUUCAUCAAUCCAUAAAUACCCUUUAAUAAUACAAAUUACCAUACAUUUGCACCUGUCAGUCUGUGGGAUCCUUGUCUAGGAGCUCCCAAGAAUUCACCAUAUUCUUUGUUUCAUGAGCUGCCAUAGCUUUUUAAAAAAAAAUAAUCAGCAGAAGGUGGCCCACCUCCUGGUUAUGUUCCUCUAAAUAGACCCAGUCAGUUGCCAGAGCUACUCUUUUAACCCUACCAUUAUGACAGACCACUCCAGAGCUUGUGUUCUUCAAGCAUAGCUUUGUUCAGGAGCCCAGAAUCAACUUUACAGCACAAUGAGGCAACAAAGAAGGAAAGAGACACAACUGUGAAGAAAAAGCACAACUAACUAGAUUUAUUAAGAAAAUGCUUUAGACAAAAAUUAUUUUAAAAAGAACUAUAAGAAACAGAAAACAUUCAAUUAACCCUUUAUGCUCUGCUGAAGAGUAAAAAAGACCUCAUCAUAGGACAUUCACUUUGGACCUGCACAACAUGUUCAAGUAACUAGUCCAGCUCUUCAGGCCCAGUGAUAAAGGCUUUCUCCAAUCCUCAGGGGCAGGAUCCUUCUAUCAGUGUUGUUCUCUCCUUGAGAGGCUUUUCACAUCUGUUCAGGAACUGUCAUGACAGAUAUUUAUGGAAUUCAGUAAGACAGAAAUCCCAGCCUAGAAGACGUCUUUUUUCUUCCUUAGAUGCUAUCAAAUGAUCUACUGAAGUAACCUAAGACCUCAGGACCUCAUUCCUGCUGAACUUUCUUUGUAUGUUGUCUCUCCAAACAGAUUGUGAGCUCAUUAAAAAAAAAAAAGGCUGGCUUGAUUUUUCUAUUUGUAUCUGAAGGAGUUUGGAAAGUGCUUGGCAAAUAGUAAGAAAGAAAAUGGCUUUUCAUUUAUUCACUCAAAAAAAUCUCUGUUAUUCAUCAGAGCAUAAUUAAAGUCAGCUCAUCUUCACCUGGAAACAAAAUAUCAUAAAAAGGACAAAUGGCAAAUAAAGUUUUAAAAGGGUUAUUUAGUCUAUGAUACCAUUAAGGUUUUGGGGCUUUUUUGGCAAAUACACUUAAAUGAUUUGCUAUUUCCUUCUCUAGUUUAUUUUACAGAUGAGGAAACUGAAAUAAAUAGCACCUGAGGCCCUAAUUUUCAAAGCAAACAACAUCACCUGUGUCCCCCAACAUUAGAAACUUGAGACAAUAUCCCCAAUGCCCUGGGAGUUCUGUUCCCAGAACUCUGUUUCCCAGAAAUGGCUUUAAAAGCCAUUAAAUAAGCAAAAAAGAAAAAAAAAGACCCUUGAUCAUAAAAAGCUAAUAUGAUGACGGAAAAGAUCAAAACAUCAACUCA